UACGUAGGGUGCAAGCGUUGUCCGGAAUUAUUGGGCGUAAAGAGCUCGUAGGCGGUUUGUCACGUCUGCUGUGAAAAUCCAAGGCUCAACCUUGGACUUGCAGUGGGUACGGGCAGGCUAGAGUGCGGUAGGGGAGAUGGGAAUUCCUGGUGUAGCGGUGGAAUGCGCAGAUAUCAGGAGGAACACCAAUGGCGAAGGCACAUCUCUGGGCCGUAACUGACGCUGAGGAGCGAAAGCGUGGGGAGCGAACAGGAUUAGAUACCCUGGUAGUCCACGCCGUAAACGGUGGGUGCUAGCUGUGGGCCACAUUCCACGUGGUCCGUGACGAAGUUAACACAUUAAGCACCCCGCCUGGGGAGUACGGCCGCAAGGCUAAAACUCAAAGGAAUUGACGGGGGCCCGCACAAGCGGCGGAGCAUGCGGAUUAAUUCGAUGCAACGCGAAGAACCUUACCAAGGCUUGACAUAUAGAGGAAAAGUGCAGAGAUGCACUCCCCGCAAGGUCUCUAUACAGGUGGUGCAUGGUUGUCGUCAGCUCGUGUCGUGAGAUGUUGGGUUAAGUCCCGCAACGAGCGCAACCCUCGUCCUAUGUUGCCAGCACGUUAUGGUGGGAACUCAUGGGAUACUGCCGGGGUCAACUCGGAGGAAGGUGGGGAUGACGUCAAAUCAUCAUGCCCCUUAUGUCUUGGGCUUCACGCAUGCUACAAUGGCCGGUACAGAGGGCAGCAAUACCGCAAGGUGGAGCGAAUCCCAAAAAGCCGGUCUCAGUUCGGAUUGAGGUCUGCAACUCGACCUCAUGAAGUCGGAGUCGCUAGUAAUCGUAGAUCAGCAACGCUACGGUGAAUACGUUCCCGGGCCU
rnacentral:rRNA from 1 species